GAUGAACGCUGGCGGCGUGCCUAAUACAUGCAAGUCGAGCGAACGGACGAGAAGCGUUCUUCUCUGAUGUUAGCGGCGGACGGGUGAGUAAGACGUGGAUAACCUACCUAUAAGACUGGGAUAACUUCGGGAAACAGGAGCUACUACCGGAUAAUAUUUUGAACCGCAUGGUUCAAAAGUGAAAGACGGUCUUGCUGUCACUUAUAGAUGGUUCCGCGGUGCAUUAGCUAGUUGGUAAGGUAACGGCUUACCAAGGCAACGAUGCAUAGCCGACCUGAGAGGGUGAUCGGCCACACUGGAACUGAGACACGGUCCAGACUCCUACGGGAGGCAGCAGUAGGGAAUCUUCCGCAAUGGGCGAAAGCCUGACGGAGCAACGCCGCGUGAGUGAUGAAGGUCUUCGGAUCGUAAAACUCUGUUAUUAGGGAAGAACAUAUGUGUAAGUAACUGUGCACAUCUUGACGGUACCUAAUCAGAAAGCCACGGCUAACUACGUG
rnacentral:rRNA from 1 species